rnacentral:rRNA from 1 species
AUUGAACGCUGGCGGCAUGCUUUACACAUGCAAGUCGAACGGUAACAGGCCGCAAGGUGCUGACGAGUGGCGAACGGGUGAGUAAUGCAUCGGAACGUGCCCAGUCGUGGGGGAUAACUACUCGAAAGAGUAGCUAAUACCGCAUACGAUCUAUGGAUGAAAGCGGGGGACCGUAAGGCCUCGCGCGAUUUGAGCGGCCGAUGUCAGAUUAGGUAGUUGGUGGGGUAAAGGCUCACCAAGCCAACGAUCGGUAGCUGGUCUGAGAGGACGACCAGCCACACUGGGACUGAGACACGGCCCAGACUCCUACGGGAGGCAGCAGUGGGGAAUUUUGGACAAUGGGCGCAAGCCUGAUCCAGCAAUGCCGCGUGCAGGAAGAGGGCCUUCGGGUUGUAAACUGCUUUUGUACGGAACGAAACGGCUCUGGUUAAUACCCGGGGCUAAUGACGGUACCGUAAGAAUAAGCACCGGCUAACUACGUG